ensembl:ncRNA lncRNA:CR45592 long non-coding RNA:CR45592
UGGUGUUUUCCAAUCGGGAUCGGGACUCCGUCGGAUGGUAUUUAUUUUGGUCCAACGUCUGUGGUAGACUGAGGGAAAAAUGACACUUGACUCUCGCUCCGCGCAGAUUAUCUGGAUCUUCCGCUCCCCAAGCAAACACAUACCCAUAUCUGUGAGUGUAUUGAAACAAUUGUCAUCUCGGUGGUCACAAUCACCCAACGCACUCAAAGUACACUCGAAAAAAGCUCUGUUGGAAAUGUAAACAUGUAGUGAAUCUUUUCUGCCACAAUUCCUCCUUAUUUUGAGAUAAGUUUAU